rnacentral:lncRNA from 1 species
UUAAAUCUCAUAUUUUUUUACACACAGGAUUGAUUUCCAAAGACUCAUGCUAUGUAAGGAAGCCACCAAGAAGGGCAAAGAAAAGGAGCCAGGGACGGCUCUUCCUCAGGGACACUAGACUUUCAGGGAUGUGGCUAUAGAUUUCUCUUUGGAGGAGUGGAAAUGCCUGAACCCUGCACAGAGGGCUUUAUACAGGGAAGUGAUGUUGGAGAACUACAGGAACCUGGAGUUUGUGGAUAGCUCUUUAAAAUCCAUGAUGGAGUUCUCAUCAACUGGGCACGGUAAUACAGGAGAAGUGAUUCACACAG